rnacentral:rRNA from 1 species
GCAAUGGACGAAAGUCUGACCGAGCAACGCCGCGUGAGUGAAGAAGGUUUUCGGAUCGUAAAGCUCUGUUGUAAGAGAAGAACGGGUGUGAGAGUGGAAAGUUCACACUGUGACGGUAUUCUUACCAGAAAGGGACGGCUAACUACGUGCCAGCAGCCGCGGUAAUACGUAGGUCCCGAGCGUUGUCCGGAUUUAUUGGGCGUAAAGCGAGCGCAGGCGGUUAGAUAAGUCUGAAGUUAAAGGCUGUGGCUUAACCAUAGUACGCUUUGGAAACUGUUUAACUUGAGUGCAGAAGGGGAGAGUGGAAUCCCAUGUGUAGCGGUGAAAUGCGUAGAUAUAUGGAGGAACACCGGUGGCGAAAGCGGCUCUCUGGUCUGUAACUGACGCUGAGGCUCGAAAGCGUGGGGAGCGAACAGGAUUAGAUACCCUGGUAGUCCACGCCGUAAACGAUGAGUGCUUGGUGUUAGGCCCUUUCCGGGGCUUAGUGCCGCAGCUAACGCAUUAAGCACUCCGCCUGGGGAGUACGACCGCAAGGUUGAAACUCAAAGGAAUUGACGGG